GACCAGACUCCUACGGGAGGCAGCAGUGAGGAAUAUUGGUCAAUGGGCGGGAGCCUGAACCAGCCAAGUCGCGUGAGGGAAGACGGUCCUAUGGAUUGUAAACCUCUUUAGGCGGGGAGCAAUGCCGGGCACGCGUGCCCGGAGGGAGAGUACCCGCAGAAUAAGCAUCGGCUAACUCCGUGCCAGCAGCCGCGGUAAUACGGAGGAUGCGAGCGUUAUCCGGAUUUAUUGGGUUUAAAGGGUGCGUAGGCGGACGCUUAAGUCAGCGGUAAAAUUGCGGGGCUCAACCUCGGCGAGCCGUUGAAACUGGGUGCCUUGAGUGGGCGAGAAGUACGCGGAAUGCGUGGUGUAGCGGUGAAAUGCAUAGAUAUCACGCAGAACUCCGAUUGCGAAGGCAGCAUACCGGCGCCCAACUGACGCUGAAGCACGAAAGCGUGGGUAUCGAACAGGAUUAGAUACCCUCGUACU
rnacentral:rRNA from 1 species